GAGAUACUCUGGGAGGGAGGCCAGAGUGAUGAGCCUUUGUGGGAGGGCUUUGGGCGACCAGAAAGUGAUAUGAUGGAUAUGGAGCAGAAGAGGGGGCACAAAGAGGCAGGUAGCUAUGCUGAGACCCAUACUGAUUGCAACUGCCCCUGGGGUUUUUAGAGAUCCUGCUGAUCACCAGCCAGUGUAUCAGACCAUGUGCCCUGAUUUUUAAUUAAGAAAAUACAGCCCCUUGGUUUACCUAGCAAGUUAACACCUUCUCCGCCAUAUAGAGGCAGAAGCAUGUUGAUCCUGGCGGUUCAGCCAUUGGGAUACUCGUUUCAUCUGUCCGAGAUUGAGACCCAAUAUCCUCAAGCAGAAAAUAGGGAGAGUCAUCUUACACUCCUCAUAGGUGAUAUGCUUAAUCAUUCAGUGUCCUGUGGGGUCAGCCUACAACGCAAGUUCUACUGCUCAUUACUUACAUCAAGGGCAGCUUUCACCCCCGAGCUGCCUAACUGGGAGCCAGAAGAUAGUGUUGAAAUAAACCAGGAAAUCCGACAACCCAGCUGACAUCUCUCUUUCCCAGUCACUGUGUGGAUCAAAGUCAUGCUCCAUAGAAGGCAAAAUAGAGACUAUGCUAGCAGGGCUGCUAUGAAGAAGUGAUGCCACUGUGCUCAGUUCAGUGCCUGACUGAGAGAAGGAACUCGAUAAACUUUAGCCUCCUUUCCUCCAGACCUUCCUCCUGCUUCUACUCCCAAAUAAAGGGCUAGAGCAUCAGAACUGCAGGGAAUGUGAAAGAUCAUCCAGCUCAGUUUUAUCUUUCCAGAUUAAGUAGGGACAUACAGUGGGAAAGUGGCGGCCCAGAUGAGAGGCCAGGUUGCCCAGUUCCUCACCCGGUGGUCACCCUGGCACCACUCUGCCACCACAUCACAGUCAUGGCACUGUCAGCUCAGAGCUAAAUUCUCCUGGCAUUAUUUAACUGGGAUUGUGGCUGUCUUCAUUCUCUGAAAUUACGUCAACUAAGCUUUAAUGACCAUUAGCUACUGUGGUUUUUCCUUUCUGAGGCCGCUCAUGUCUUUGGCUAGGAACUCAUCUCUGUAAGCAUUUGUACUCUGCUCCUGUUUUCAGCAGAUCUUAAAUAUUGUGCCUGGGUCUGAGCUUCUCCUUACAAGUGCAGGAUUCUAAAUUCAAAUUCACGAGCCAGUGUCUGUUUUCUGGAGCACAUCCAAGUGUGGGUGAGUGAGAACGGGCAGUUUAUAAUCCUGAGAUGCUAAUCUACC
rnacentral:lncRNA from 1 species